CGAAGGGGGCUAGCGUUGCUCGGAAUCACUGGGCGUAAAGCGCACGUAGGCGGACUCUUAAGUCAGGGGUGAAAUCCUGGAGCUCAACUCCAGAACUGCCUUUGAUACUGGGAGCCUUGAGUUCGGGAGAGGUGAGUGGAACUGCGAGUGUAGAGGUGAAAUUCGUAGAUAUUCGCAAGAACACCAGUGGCGAAGGCGGCUCACUGGCCCGAUACUGACGCUGAGGUGCGAAAGCGUGGGGAGCAAACAGG
rnacentral:rRNA from 1 species